AACCUCUGCAAUAGGCGAAAGCUUGACAGGGUUACUCUGAGUGAUUUCCGUUAAGGAGAUCUUUUGGCACCUCUAAAAAUGGUGCAGAAUAAGGGGUGGGCAAGUCUGGUGUCAGCCGCCGCGGUAAUACCAGCACCCCGAGUGGUCGGGACGUUUAUUGGGCCUAAAGCAUCCGUAGCCGGUUCUACAAGUCUUCCGUUAAAUCCACCUGCUCAACAGAUGGGCUGCGGAAGAUACUAUGGAGCUAGGAGGCGGGAGAGGCAAGCGGUACUCGAUGGGUAGGGGUAAAAUCCGUUGAUCCAUUGAAGACCACCAGUGGCGAAGGCGGCUUGCCAGAACGCGCUCGACGGUGAGGGAUGAAAGCUGGGGGAGCAAACCGGAUUAGAUACCCGGGUAGUCCCAGCUGUAAACGAUGCAGACUCGGUGAUGAGUUGGCUUUAUGCCAACUCAGCGCCGCAGGGAAGCCGCUUAAGUUGCCGCCGCGGCGAGCCCCAACGAAUGAAGUCU
rnacentral:rRNA from 1 species